UUUCACACUCACUCAUCAAAAGGCACUAGAUCCCAUCUGAUCUUGGAAGCUAACCAGGGUCAGCCCUAGUUAGUACUUGGAUGAGAGACCACCAAUGAAUACCAGGUACUGUGGGCU
rnacentral:rRNA from 1 species